rnacentral:lncRNA from 1 species
UACUAAUAAGGAAAUCAAUUAGUUGGUGUGCGUGUCACGAAAUGCUUCAAUAAAGAUCUGCCUUUGGGGGAUUUUUCCUCCCCCUCCAUUUUUUUCCCCCAAAGAGACCUGGCUGGGGCCAGAACGCCUUGCCAGCGUCCUCCCGUCAGAAGGAGGCGACGCAGCAGCGUCUGGAGCUGAUUACUGGAGGGAUGUGCUCUGCUGCCCUGCUGGCAUCACGGGCAGCUAUGGGGUCCCCACCUCAGCCUGUCCUGGCCGCACCCAUCUGCGUGGGUCAAGGAGGAGCGGUCGUGCCCAGCCCAGGUCCUGGUCCACCAGGCUGGAAAGAGGCUUCACGGCCCUCCACCACACACAAUGACACACACAUAGUCGCUCCAGAUCACCCAUGCAUAAACACACACACACACACAAUCUCUCACGAUAACUACUCAGACAGCCCAAACUGCACACAAAUCCACUAUCACAACCUAUAUACACACACACACAAUUAUACACAUACUCACACUCAUCCCCAAACAUAUACACAUUCACAACCACCCUUCUCCAGACACGUAUACAAUCACACACAUAUACUUGAUGUGAGAAUCCAAGGACAUCUGAGCUAGAAUAGAUCUUCAAAGUCUUCAAUUCCAACCCCCCCUUCACAUUACCAGUGGGGAAACUGAAGCCCAGAGAGAAGGCAUGAAUUGUACAAAUGGCACCUCUUUAUCCCCACUCUCCCAGUUAGUGGCAUCUUGGGAUGAGAGAUAUUGAUCAGGGGAUCCAGGGCUGAGAGAAAGUGGGAGAGGAACUCACCUGGAGCCCGGGCCCCAAAAAACUUCAGCCAAACCUUCUAAUGAGGAAAUGCAAAAAUAAGAAUCAAGAAGGAAUCUGCACAGCCCCAGAAUUCCCCCAACCCCUGCCCAGCCUGGAGAACAGCACAGUCUAAGUGCAAAGACCGUGGCCUUCUGGGGAGACAGACCAGGUUUCCUGAAACUUGGCUCUGCCAUUCACUUGCUGGGUGACCUAGGGCAAAG